GCUAUGGCUCAGGAUUCCUGGUCUUUUCACAAGAUAGUCCUCCAUGUCAGUCUUGUUGGAACCAACGGCGAUCACUGUUUUCUUCCUACUACUUGCUCAAAAGUCAGAGAAAGCCUGAUAAACGCUUAUUAAAUUAACUGACCUGCUGGUGUUGCCCCUCAAAAUAUGACAAAUCUGGCAGACAAGGAAGCUGGAGAUGGUCUGAGGAACCAGGCUGUGGGGAGAAAUGGUCAAUUUUGACCCUCAGAGGCUCUCAGAGCUCUUUGAAGAACCCAUCUCAUAUCAUUCUAACACAUGAAAAUGCACCAUGUUCUAGGAUAAACUUCCUUAAUGUGGAAAUAUCAUUUGAGCUGAUGUAAUUUUACAUUUGGUAAACAUUUUAGUUGAAUAUUUCUUCAUGUUAAUUUUGCAGGAGUUAAAAAAAAAUUGGAACAAA